rnacentral:tRNA from 1 species
CUGGGUGUAGCUCAGUUGGCAAGAGUACGGGCUUUGGAAGCCUGUGGCCGGGGGUUCGAGUCCCUCCACCCAGACCA